UACGUAGGGGGCAAGCGUUGUCCGGAAUUAUUGGGCGUAAAGCGCGCGCAGGCGGCUUCUUAAGUCUGAUGUGAAAGCCCGUGGCUCAACCACGGAGGGUCAUUGGAAACUGGGGAGCUUGAGUGCAGAAGAGGAGAGUGGAAUUCCACGUGUAGCGGUGAAAUGCGUAGAGAUGUGGAGGAACACCAGUGGCGAAGGCGGCUCUCUGGUCUGUAACUGACGCUGAGGCGCGAAAGCGUGGGGAGCAAACAGG
rnacentral:rRNA from 1 species